rnacentral:lncRNA from 1 species
AAAAAAAAAAAGCGCGACUUCACGUUGAGUUCCAUGAGUUACUUUUGUGAGAGCACACUGUAACGCCAGGCAUGGCUGGCCCCGGGCUGCUCGUGUACCAGACUGUGCUGCAGCUGGCGAAUUGCUCUUAUCCUGUUCUACUUACCGGUACAAUCAGCGUGGAUAGAUGAUUCAAGGCUGUCCACUAUGAGAUUCUAAAGUACUUUGUGAUUGAUUAAAAAAGACCUCUGCUCUGGAAA